rnacentral:rRNA from 1 species
UGCCAGCAGCCGCGGUAAUACGGAAGGUGCAAGCGUUGUUCGGAAUGACUGGGCGUAAAGAGCACGUAGGCGGAUUCAUAAGUCAGAUGUGAAAUCCCCAGGCUUAACCUGGGAGCUGCAUUUGAAACUGUGGAUCUUGAAUACCUGAGGGGCUAGUGGAAUUCCAGGUGUAGGAGUGAAAUCCGUAGAUAUCUGGAGGAACACCAGAGGCGAAGGCGGCUAGCUGGCAGUGUAUUGACGCUGAGGUGCGAAAGCGUGGGUAGCAAACAGGAUUAGAUA